ACUCCGACGGGAGGCAGCAGUAGGGAAUCUUCCACAAUGGGCGCAAGCCUGAUGGAGCAACACCGCGUGAGUGAAGAAGGGUUUCGGCUCGUAAAGCUCUGUUGUUAAAGAAGAACACGUAUGAGAGUAACUGUUCAUACGUUGACGGUAUUUAACCAGAAAGUCACGGCUAACUACGUGCCAGCAGCCGCGGUAAUACGUAGGUGGCAAGCGUUAUCCGGAUUUAUUGGGCGUAAAGAGAGUGCAGGCGGUUUUCUAAGUCUGAUGUGAAAGCCUUCGGCUUAACCGGAGAAGUGCAUCGGAAACUGGAUAACUUGAGUGCAGAAGAGGGUAGUGGAACUCCAUGUGUAGCGGUGGAAUGCGUAGAUAUAUGGAAGAACACCAGUGGCGAAGGCGGCUACCUGGUCUGCAACUGACGCUGAGACUCGAAAGCAUGGGUAGCGAACAGGAUUAGAUACCCUGGUAGGAUAGCG
rnacentral:rRNA from 1 species